GAGUUUGAUCCUGGCUCAGAUUGAACGCUGGCGGCAUGCCUUACACAUGCAAGUCGAACGGCAGCAUGAUCUAGCUUGCUAGAUUGAUGGCGAGUGGCGAACGGGUGAGUAAUACAUCGGAACGUGCCCUGUAGUGGGGGAUAACUAGUCGAAAGAUUAGCUAAUACCGCAUACGACCUGAGGGUGAAAGUGGGGGACCGCAAGGCCUCAUGCUAUAGGAGCGGCCGAUGUCUGAUUAGCUAGUUGGUGGGGUAAAGGCCCGCCAAGGCGACGAUCAGUAGCUGGUCUGAGAGGACGAUCAGCCACACUGGGACUGAGACACGGCCCAGACUCCUACGGGAGGCAGCAGUGGGGAAUUUUGGACAAUGGGGGCAACCCUGAUCCAGCAAUGCCGCGUGUGUGGAGAAGGCCUU
rnacentral:rRNA from 1 species